rnacentral:rRNA from 1 species
UACAGGCUUAACACAUGCAAGUCGAGGGGCAGCAUGGUCUUAGCUUGCUAAGGCCGAUGGCGACCGGCGCACGGGUGAGUAACACGUAUCCAACCUGCCGUCUACUCUUGGACAGCCUUCUGAAAGGAAGAUUAAUACAAGAUGGCAUCAUGAGUCCGCAUGUUCACAUGAUUAAAGGUAUUCCGGUAGACGAUGGGGAUGCGUUCCAUUAGAUAGUAGGCGGGGUAACGGCCCACCUAGUCUUCGAUGGAUAGGGGUUCUGAGAGGAAGGUCCCCCACAUUGGAACUGAGACACGGUCCAAACUCCUACGGGAGGCAGCAGUGAGGAAUAUUGGUCAAUGGGCGAGAGCCUGAACCAGCCAAGUAGCGUGAAGGAUGACUGCCCUAUGGGUUGUAAACUUCUUUUAUAAAGGAAUAAAGUCGGGUAUGGAUACCCGUUUGCAUGUACUUUAUGAAUAAGGAUCGGCUAACUCCGUGCCAGCAGCCGCGGUAAUACGGAGGAUCCGAGCGUUAUCCGGAUUUAUUGGGUUUAAAGGGAGCGUAGAUGGAUGUUUAAGUCAGUUGUGAAAGUUUGCGGCUCAACCGUAAAAUUGCAGUUGAUACUGGAUAUCUUGAGUGCAGUUGAGGCAGGCGGAAUUCGUGGUGUAGCGGUGAAAUGCUUAGAUAUCACGAAGAACUCCGAUUGCGAAGGCAGCCUGCUAAGCUGCAACUGACAUUGAGGCUCGAAAGUGUGGGUAUCAAACAGGAUUAGAUACCCUGGUAGUCCACACGGUAAACGAUGAAUACUCGCUGUUUGCGAUAUACUGCAAGCGGCCAAGCGAAAGCGUUAAGUAUUCCACCUGGGGAGUACGCCGGCAACGGUGAAACUCAAAGGAAUUGACGGGGGCCCGCACAAGCGGAGGAACAUGUGGUUUAAUUCGAUGAUACGCGAGGAACCUUACCCGGGCUUAAAUUGCAGAUGAAUUACGGUGAAAGCCGUAAGCCGCAAGGCAUCUGUGAAGGUGCUGCAUGGUUGUCGUCAGCUCGUGCCGUGAGGUGUCGGCUUAAGUGCCAUAACGAGCGCAACCCUUGUUGUCAGUUACUAACAGGUUCCGCUGAGGACUCUGACAAGACUGCCAUCGUAAGAUGUGAGGAAGGUGGGGAUGACGUCAAAUCAGCACGGCCCUUACGUCCGGGGCUACACACGUGUUACAAUGGGGGGUACAGAGGGCCGCUACCACGCGAGUGGAUGCCAAUCCCCAAAACCUCUCUCAGUUCGGACUGGAGUCUGCAACCCGACUCCACGAAGCUGGACUCGCUAGUAAUCGCGCAUCAGCCACGGCGCGGUGAAUACGUUCCCGGGCCUUGUACACACCGCCCGUCAAGCCAUGGGAGCCGGGGGUACCUGAAGUGCGUAACCGCGAGGAGCGCCCUAGGGUAAAACUGGUGACUGGGGCUAAGUCGU